AAUCAACGCUGGCGGCGUGCCUAACACAUGCAAGUCGAACGAGAAAAUCCGGUGUUGUAGCAAUACAAUACUGGGUGAGUACAGUGGCGACCGGGUGAGUAACACGUGGAUAACCUACCUUGGAGGCGGGGAAUAACCCUGGGGAAACCGGGGCUAAUACCGCAUAACACUUGGCGACUGCGGUUGCCGGGUUGAAACCUGGAAACGGGGCUCCUAGGAGGGGUCCGCGGCCGAUUAGCUAGUUGGC
rnacentral:rRNA from 1 species